CUGUCCAAAGAGGUGCUUGUUCAAGUAGCCUCGCUUGAAUCGUCACAUGCGAUUUGGACCGCAUUAGCAAACAUGUUUUCUACGGUCUCUCUGUCUUGUGUCAAUAACAUCAAGUCAGCCCUCACGAACGCCCAGAAGGGGUCACAGUGAGCCUCCACCUUCUUCAGGAAGAUGCGUGCCCUCUCCGACGAGCUUGCGGCGGUAGGAAAACCGAUCGGGGAGGACGAACUCAUCUCCUUCAUCGUCGUCGGGCUUGAUAUGGAGUAUCAGCCCAUCAUCUCUGCACUCGACGUCCGCACCGAGCCCAUCACCUUCGACGCACUCUUCUCGAUGGUGGCAAACUUUGAUCAACACGCUGAGAUGUUCAGCAGCGUUGGUGGCUUCAAGUCAUCAGCGAACGCCGCUUCCAAGGGUCGAUCGAGUGGCGGCAGAGGCGGCUACCGCAACCAGAAGCAAGGUGGUCGCGGCGGCGGCUACUCUGGUGCUGGCGGCCAAAACCCUAGCAGUGGCUAUCCUGGCACGGGUAGCGGCGGCUCCAACCAAGGCGGUGGUGGUUACAACAACCACGACGGCGGCGGCUACAACAACCAUGGCAAUGGCUGCGGCCAAGGCAGCGCCACCGUGGCGGCGGCGGCGGGGGCUACUACAACAACAAUGGCCCUCCGCGCCACUACUACAACAACAACCAAGGAGGCCGCUUCGUCGGGUAUGAGGAGUAUGAAAACAAAUGCCAGAUCUGCAAGAAAACUAACCAUAUUGCCAAAGAAUGUAAGUGGCGCUAUGCAGAGGAUAAUUCCAGGAAAAGGCGUGUUGCAGCUGCGGCGGAUGCCUCAUACGGAGUUGACUCUGACUGGUAUCUUGACUCCGGCUCGAAUGAGAACAUCACCUCUGAACUUGAGAAUAUGA
rnacentral:rRNA from 1 species